CAGGGAAUAUGAUAUGGCUGUCGUGGUGAAAAAAGCUGUUUUAAAUAAACUUUUUGCCAGUGCCUGAUUAUUAUUCAAGGCAUAGGAUCAUGUUGUUGUUGUUGUUUAGUCGUUUAGUCGUGUCCGACUCUUCGUGACCCCAUGGACCAGAGCACGCCAGGCACUCCUGUCUUCCACUGCCUCCCACAGUUUCGUCAAACUCAUGCUGGUAGCUUCGAGAACACUGUCCAACCAUCUCGUCCUCUGUCGUCCCCUUCUCCUUGUGCCCUCCAUCUUUCCCAACAUCAGGGUCUUUUCCAGGGAGUCUUGUCUUCUCAUGAGGUGGCCAAAGUAUUGGAGCCUCAACUUCACGAUCUGUCCUUCCAGUGAGCACUCAGGGGUGAUUUCCUUAAGAAUGGGUGCGUUUGAUCUUCUUGCAGUCCAUGGGACUCUCAAGAGUCUCCUCCAGCACCAUAAUUCAAAAGCAUCAAUUCUUCGGCGAUCAGCCUUCUUGAUGGUCCAGCUCUCACUUCCAUACAUCACUACUGGCAAAACCAUGGCUUUAACUAUACGGACCUUUGUUGGCAAGGGGAUGUCUCUGCUUUUUAAGAUGCUGUCUAGAUAGGAUCAUACUACACUCCCAUUCUCUAUGACAAGAAGCAUAUUAGCAAAAAACAAACUAGCCUUUAGUGAGAUCAGCCUCCACAAUAUCUGUUCAGAAAGACAGGCAAUAUUGUUUGUAGAAUUUCACGCCCAGAAGAAGUUCUAUAGUAUUUAAUAUACUGAAUGCUUAAUAUAGUGACACGUGUCUGCUCAAGCAGGAUUUCCAAAGAUCAGGGACACCAAGACCAAGCAAUUCAUGCCUGUUUCCCUGCGCAAGAUUCUUACUGGAGGCUCAAACAUGAGCCUAACCAAACUGCGGGAGGCAGUGGGAGCCAAAGUUUGUGAAUCACUCUGCAAUUUUCUAAAUUUAAAGCAGUGUAACCUAGUUUCUCC